UACGGGGGGGGCAAGCGUUGUUCGGAAUUACUGGGCGUAAAGGGCUCGUAGGCGGCCAACUAAGUCGGACGUGAAAUCCCCAGGCUCAACCUGGGAACUGCGUCCGAUACUGGAUGGCUUGAAUUCGGGAGAGGGAUGCAGAAUUCCAGGUGUAGCGGUGAAAUGCGUAGAUAUCUGGAGGAAUACCGGUGGCGAAGGCGGCAUCCUGGACCGAGUAUGACACUAAGCGCGAAGCAAGG
rnacentral:rRNA from 1 species